CGUUAAGUCGACCGCCUGGGGAGUACGGCCGCAAGGUUAAAACUCAAAUGAAUUGACGGGGGCCCGCACAAGCGGUGGAGCAUGUGGUUUAAUUCGAUGCAACGCGAAGAACCUUACCUGGUCUUGACAUCCACGGAAGUUUUCAGAGAUGAGAAUGUGCCUUCGGGAACCGUGAGACAGGUGCUGCAUGGCUGUCGUCAGCUCGUGUUGUGAAAUGUUGGGUUAAGUCCCGCAACGAGCGCAACCCUUAUCCUUUGUUGCCAGCGGUCCGGCCGGGAACUCAAAGGAGACUGCCAGUGAUAAAC
rnacentral:rRNA from 1 species